CUUGACCGUGCCGAGCCGGAGCGGGUGCCGUGGAUCACGGUCCUGGCCAUAGGUGGCGAGCAGGGCGCCCGCCUC
rnacentral:antisense_RNA from 1 species